UGGUGUCAUUAUGCAGCGUAAGGACAGUCCACUUCAUAAAAUCCAUCGUCAUUUGCAACACACCUGGGCCAACUUUGCGGCAAUCUUUUAUUACAAAGAAUCUUAUUGCGCUUCCUAUACUCUAUUUCUGCAAGCAUGGAAGCAUUAGUUUUUGCUCAGCUUACUGUCAAAACAGCCUUAUUUGCUUUUGUUAUGUAUCUUAGAUAGAAAAUUAUAGUUUCUUAUAAAGUUUUUAUAGUCCUAAUUUGUUUUACCGUGUAAUUUUGUGCAAUUAUUCUUUUUGUUUUAAUAUGAUUGCCAAGCAACAUUUUAUAUGAA